rnacentral:lncRNA from 1 species
UUCACGCCAUUUUUUGUGAUGUUUUGUUAAUUUUUAAAAGAAAAGCAAAAAAUGAAGUAAAAAGUUGAUAUUUCACUACAUUUUCAUUUCAAGCUAUUGUACAUAAUGAUACUUUCACACAUCACAGUCAGUAUAACAAACAAUCCUGAUGUCAUUACUACCAGAAAAAAAUGCACCUUCCAAUGAAAGUUGUUAUUUUUGCUUAAGGGAUGGUUAAUUUUGAAAGAUUAGAAUUAGAAAUAUUUCGUUAGGUGCAGUGCAGUUACACGAAAAUCACUGAAGCUUCUUAACCCUAGAAUAUUACGUAUUUAAGAAGAACAUAUCCAUUACUGACAUAUAUUUUAAAAAGAAACAAACUCCUUAUCAAACAAUAUUUAUUCUUUGAGUAUUCUAGGGCUAAGAAAACGAAAAAGGCAGUUCACUGAGUUUUCCUAGUUAUAUAGAA